rnacentral:tRNA from 1 species
GGGCCCAUAGCUCAGGGGUAGAGCUACCGGCUCAUAACCGGUUGGUCCCUGGUUCGAUACCAGGUGGGCCCACCA